rnacentral:rRNA from 1 species
GACGAACGCUGGCGGCAUGCCUAAUACAUGCAAGUCGAGCGAACAGAUGAAGUGCUUGCACUUCUGACGUUAGCGGCGAACGGGUGAGUAACACGUAAGGAAUCUACCUAUAAGCGGGGGAUAACAUUCGGAAACGGGUGCUAAUACCGCAUAAUAUCUUCUUCCGCAUGGAAGAAGAUUGAAAGACGGCUCUGCUGUCACUUAUAGAUGACCUUGCGGUGCAUUAGUUAGUUGGUGGGGUAAUGGCCUACCAAGACGAUGAUGCGUAGCCGACCUGAGAGGGUGAUCGGCCACAUUGGGACUGAGACACGGCCCAAACUCCUACGGGAGGCAGCAGUAGGGAAUCUUCCGCAAUGGGCGAAAGCCUGACGGAGCAAUGCCGCGUGAGUGAAGAAGGCCUUCGGGUCGUAAACUCUGUUAUAAGAGAAGAACAAAUUGUAGAGUAACUGCUACAGUCUUGACGGUAUCUUAUCAGAAAGCCACGGCUAACUACGU